rnacentral:misc_RNA from 1 species
GUCCACGACGAUUUCACCCGGGAGCUGCCGCUGGGGACUGACGUUCAGUCGGUCGUUGAUACCGGUGUCCAGGUUCGGUCCGAGCCAAGUCGCCGUAUUACCCAAAUUCGUAUACCGCCCGAACGCUGUCCCAACCGGCUGAAUCAGCGGAUUCGAUGCUGGGAAGGGAUUACUCAGUUGAGCGCCCGGGAUACCCUGUAACACCGGUUCGACAUUCGUGGCUGCGUUGAAGCCAUACGUGGGCAGCGCAUCGACAGUCCCGUUGAUUACCUCCGCUGGAAUGGAGUAGCGCGC